UCCCGUUUAACACGGGCAGUCUCUCUAGAGUGCUCAACUGAAUGGUAGCAACUAGAGACAGGGGUUGCGUUCGUUACCCCACUGAAGGGAACGAUUCAAACCGCGAACUGACGACAGCCAUGCAUCACCUGUCCUACACCCUCGAAGGCUUCCUAGCUUUCGCUAGGCGUGCAGUAGGAUUUCUAGCCCUGGUAAGGUUCUUCGCUUAGCGACGAAUUGAGCCACACGCUCCACCGCUUGUGCAAGCUCCCGUCUAUUCCUUUGAGUUUUAGCCUUGCGGCCGUACUACCCAGGCGGUCCGCUUAACGCGUUAGCUUCGCCUCAGAGGGGGUCGAUACUCCCUAAAGCCAGCGGACAUAGUUUAGGGCGUGGACUAC
rnacentral:misc_RNA from 1 species